UUCCCUCCUCUGAGAAGAACAACAGAAAUUCCCAGCCAAAAUGAGACUGUACCUCGUAGUUGCCAUGCUGGUGCUGGCUUUGGCCGCAUUCACACAGGCUCAGGAGGCGGAGGCGGCCGUCUCUGGGAUCACAGAGAUGGGCCAAAGCCUGGCAGACAAGGCCACGGCAACCUUUGAAGACAUCAGGACCAGCGACAUCAUAUCCAACUCACAGGCCUGGUUGGAGCAGCAGUUGGAAAAGGUGAAGCAGAAGAUCGGUUAAAUCACCCAGUAAAAUGGUCCCUGUCUCCAUCCUAAGACCCCCCUCCCACCUCUGAUCUCUUCACACAUUGCUUUGCUGACCAGACACAAUAUCUAUGUUGCCUCUCUGUAAAGAGAUGGUUGUUUUUUUUAUCAUUUCAAUGUAAUCUUUUUGAAGAACCACUGUGAAAACUUGAAAUAAAGACACUGGGGGAAAAAAUAAAGCUGUGCUUUAAUGUUCACAUAUUCUGUUUAAGCGUUAGUAAUUUUCUAUAGGAACAGAUGUACUGAACUGUGUAAUAAAUGAGCAGUUGUUGUGGUCUCACACAGAGUGGCCGCCUUAUGUUAUACAAAA